rnacentral:rRNA from 1 species
UUGAAGAGUUUGAUCAUGGCUCAGAUUGAACGCUGGCGGCAGGCCUAACACAUGCAAGUCGAACGGUAACAGGAAGCAGCUUGCUGCUUUGCUGACGAGUGGCGGACGGGUGAGUAAUGUCUGGGAAACUGCCUGAUGGAGGGGGGAUAACUACUGGAAACGGUAGCUAAUACCGCAUAACGUCGCAAGACCAAAGAGGGGGGACCUUCGGGCCUCUUGCCAUCGGAUGUGCCCAGAUGGGAUUAGCUAGUAGGUGGGGUAACGGCUCACCUAGGCGACGAUCCCUAGCUGGUCUGAGAGGAUGACCAGCCACACUGGAACUGAGACACGGUCCAGACUCCUACGGGAGGCAGCAGUGGGGAAUAUUGCACAAUGGGCGCAAGCCUGAUGCAGCCAUGCCGCGUGUAUGAAGAAGGCCUUCGGGUUGUAAAGUACUUUCAGCGGGGAGGAAGGGAGUAAAGUUAAUACCUUUGCUCAUUGACGUUACCCGCAGAAGAAGCACCGGCUAACUCCGUGCCAGCAGCCGCGGUAAUACGGAGGGUGCAAGCGUUAAUCGGAAUUACUGGGCGUAAAGCGCACGCAGGCGGUUUGUUAAGUCAGAUGUGAAAUCCCCGGGCUCAACCUGGGAACUGCAUCUGAUACUGGCAAGCUUGAGUCUCGUAGAGGGGGGUAGAAUUCCAGGUGUAGCGGUGAAAUGCGUAGAGAUCUGGAGGAAUACCGGUGGCGAAGGCGGCCCCCUGGACGAAGACUGACGCUCAGGUGCGAAAGCGUGGGGAGCAAACAGGAUUAGAUACCCUGGUAGUCCACGCCGUAAACGAUGUCGACUUGGAGGUUGUGCCCUUGAGGCGUGGCUUCCGGAGCUAACGCGUUAAGUCGACCGCCUGGGGAGUACGGCCGCAAGGUUAAAACUCAAAUGAAUUGACGGGGGCCCGCACAAGCGGUGGAGCAUGUGGUUUAAUUCGAUGCAACGCGAAGAACCUUACCUGGUCUUGACAUCCACGGAAGUUUUCAGAGAUGAGAAUGUGCCUUCGGGAACCGUGAGACAGGUGCUGCAUGGCUGUCGUCAGCUCGUGUUGUGAAAUGUUGGGUUAAGUCCCGCAACGAGCGCAACCCUUAUCCUUUGUUGCCAGCGGUCCGGCCGGGAACUCAAAGGAGACUGCCAGUGAUAAACUGGAGGAAGGUGGGGAUGACGUCAAGUCAUCAUGGCCCUUACGACCAGGGCUACACACGUGCUACAAUGGCGCAUACAAAGAGAAGCGACCUCGCGAGAGCAAGCGGACCUCAUAAAGUGCGUCGUAGUCCGGAUUGGAGUCUGCAACUCGACUCCAUGAAGUCGGAAUCGCUAGUAAUCGUGGAUCAGAAUGCCACGGUGAAUACGUUCCCGGGCCUUGUACACACCGCCCGUCACACCAUGGGAGUGGGUUGCAAAAGAAGUAGGUAGCUUAACCUUCGGGAGGGCGCUUACCACUUUGUGAUUCAUGACUGGGGUGAAGUCGUAACAAGGUAACCGUAGGGGAACCUGCGGUUGGAUCACCUCCUU